AUUUAUUGGAUUCCUCGGGGGCGCAGGGGGCAGGCUCGUCACUGCGGAGGAUCCUGGCUGGGCCGGCCUGGGAGAGGCAGAGUCUGGGCAGCAGCUGACACAAGACCAGUAGUGAGAGGUGCCCGGCCCUCGGCCACGAGGAGGGAGACGGUGGGGGUGGAGCAGGCCUGACCCAGAGGGAGGUGCAGGCCGAGGAGAAGGCCUGCACAAGGCGUGGUGGGAGCCAGAUGUCCGAUGUCCCGGAAUCCAGAGACGCGGGGUGGAGCCGGCUGGCCCGAGGAACAGAAGCAGAUCCGCCAGAACGGCCAACAGUCCGGAGGACAAGCGCUGCUCACCUGAGCCUCCCUGGGGCCCAAGGGCCUAUGGGUUGGUGGUCUCCCUGGGCUGCCCGCAGAGGCUCUAAAGACCCCUACCCACGGUGCUGAUGGGCAGUGCCGGGGGCGCGGAGAACAGCGGAGUCCGGGAUGAAGCGGCCUUUCCUCUGGGUGGGAAGUACCCGGGCUCUGCAGCACCCAACGCCGCCGCCCCAGGCCGCAGGGGCAUCGCCUGGUUCCCCGCGUCCCAGCGCCUCCGUGGUGAGUCGAGCCGCAGCGCUCUGGGUCGGUGAAGGUGGCUCAGCGCGGGCGCUCCAGUCCCGACGUUCC
rnacentral:antisense_RNA from 1 species